GACGUAGGGCGCGAGCGUUGUCCGGAUUUAUUGGGCGUAAAGAGCUCGUAGGCGGCUUGUUGCGUCGGCUGUGAAAACCCGUGGCUUAACUGCGGGCUUGCAGCUGAUACGGGCGGGCUGGAGUUCGGUAGGGGAGACUGGAAUUCCUGGUGUAGCGGUGAAAUGCGCAGAUAUCAGGAGGAACACCGGUGGCGAAGGCGGGUCUCUGGGCCGAUACUGACGCUGAGGAGCGAAAGCGUGGGGAGCGAACAGG
rnacentral:rRNA from 1 species